ACUUUGAUUCCUUCUUCAAUACCAUUUAUCCAAUCACCAAAGUUAAGCAAUGUCAGGCCUGGUCAGUACUUGGUAGGGUGACCACCUGUGAACACCCAGUGCUGUUGGCU